ensembl:snRNA U6 U6 spliceosomal RNA
AUGCUCGCUUCAGCAGCAUGUAUCCUAAAAUUGGAAUGAUACAGAGAAGAUUAUCAGGGCUGCUGUUGAAGGAUAACAUGCAUAUUUGUGAAGCAUUCCAUAUUUUU